rnacentral:sRNA from 1 species
UCCGAGCCAGGCGACAGAUCUCGCGGUGCGACAGAUACGAGAAGAUGUGCAGCAGCACCUUGUCGGGCAGUUUCUCGAUGGUCUGUCACAGGACAACAAACUUUUCACUCAGAGAACAACCUGAAGAAGUUUCUGUUCUUAAGGCUAUGCACGCAACUUCAUGUAUAAUAUAAAGAAAAAACUUCCAGAA